UGGGGAAUUUUGGACAAUGGGCGCAAGCCUGAUCCAGCAAUGCCGCGUGCAGGAUGAAGGCCUUCGGGUUGUAAACUGCUUUUGUACGGAGCGAAAAGGCUCUCUCUAAUACGGGGAGUUCAUGACGGUACCGUAAGAAUAAGCACCGGCUAACUACGUGCCAGCAGCCGCGGUAAUACGUAGGGUGCGAGCGUUAAUCGGAAUUACUGGGCGUAAAGCGUGCGCAGGCGGUUUUGUAAGACAGAUGUGAAAUCCCCGGGCUCAACCUGGGACCUGCAUUUGUGACUGCAAGGCUAGAGUACGGUAGAGGGGGAUGGAAUUCCGCGUGUAGCAGUGAAAUGCGUAGAUAUGCGGAGGAACGCCGAUGGCGAAGGCAAUCCCCUGGACCUGUACUGACGCUCAUGCACGAAAGCGUGGGGAGCAAACA
rnacentral:rRNA from 1 species